AGGUCGGAGCCACCAGUGUGUGUUGUUGCUGAGGUUGGAACCACCAGUGUGUGUGUGUUGUUGCUGAGGUCGGAGCCACCAGUGUGUGUGUGUUGUUGCUGAGGUCGGAGCCACCAGUGUGUGUUGUUGCUGAGGUUGGAGCCACCAGUGUGUGUGUGUUGUUGCUGAGGUCGGAGCCACCAGUGUGUGUUGUUGCUGAGGUUGGAACCACCUGUGGGUGUGUGUUGUUGCUGAGGUUGGAGACACCAGUGUGUUUGUGUUGUUGCUGAGGUUGGAGUCACCAGUGUGUGUGUGUUGUUGCUGAGGUUGGAGCCACCAGUGUGUAUGUGUUGUUGCUGAGGUUGGAGACACCAGUGUGUGUGUGUUGUUGCUGAGGUUGGAGCCACCAGUGUGUGUGUGUUGUUGCUGAGGUUGGAGCCACCAGUGUGUGUGUGUUGUUGCUGAGGUUGGAGACACCAGUGUGUGUGUGUGUUGUUGCUGAGGUUGGAACCAGCAGUGUGUGUGUGUUGUUGCUGAGGUUGGAGUCACCAGUGUGUGUGUGUGUGUGUUGUUGCUGAGGUUGGAGCCACCAGUGUGUGUGUGUUGUUACUGAGGUCGGAGCCACCAGUGUGUGUUGUUGCUGAGGUUGGAACCACCAGUGUGUGUGUGUUGUUGCUGAGGUUGGAGGCACCAGUGUGUGUGUGUUGUUGCUGAGGUUGGAGACACCAGUGUGUGUGUGUUGUUGCUGAGGUUGGAGCCACCAGUGUGUGUUGUUGCUGAGGUUGGAACCAGCAGUGUGUGUGUGUUGUUGCUGAGGUUGGAGCCACCAGUGUGUGUGUGUUGUUGCUGAGGUUGGAGCCACCAGUGUGUGUGUGUUGUUGCUGAGGUUGGAACCACCAGUGUGUGUGUGUUGUUGCUGAGGUUGGAGACACCAGUGUGUGUGUUGUUGCUGAGUUUGGAGCUGCCAGUGUGUGUUGUUGCUGAGGUUGGAACCACCAGUGUGUGUGUGUUGUUGCUGAGGUUGGAGCCACCAGUGUGUGUGUGUUGUUGCUGAGGUUGGAGCCACCAGUGUGUGUGUGUUGUUGCUGAGGUUGGAGACACCAGUGUGUGUGUGUGUUGUUGCUGAGGUUGGAACCACCAGUGUGUGUGUUGUUGCUGAGGUUGGAGCCACCAGUGUGUGUGUGUUGUUGCUGAGGUUGGAGUCACCAGUGUGUGUGUGUUGUUGCUGAGGUUGGAGACACCAGUGUGUGUGUGUUGUUGCUGAGGUUGGAACCAGCAGUGUGUGUGUGUUGUUUCUGAGGUUGGAAGUAACCAGUGUGUGUGUGUGUGUUGUUGCUGAGGUUGGAGCCACCAGUGUGUGUUGUUGCUGAGGUUGGAACCACCAGUGUGUGUGUGUUGUUGCUGAGGUCGGAGCCACCAGUGUGUGUUGUUGCUGAGGUUGGAACCACCAGUGUGUGUGUGUUGUUGCUGAGGUCGGAGCCACCAGUGUGUGUGUGUUGUUGCUGAGGUCGGAGCCACCAGUGU